GGGAGGACCAUCUCCCAAGGCUAAAUACUCUCUAGUGACCGAUAGUGAACCAGUACCGUGAGGGAAAGGUGAAAAGUACCCCGGAAGGGGAGUGAAAGAGAACUUGAAACCGUGUGCUUACAAGUAGUCAGAGCCCGUUAAUGGGUGAUGGCGUGCCUUUUGUAGAAUGAACCGGCGAGUUACGAUCUGAUGCAAGGUUAAGCAGCAAAUGCGGAGCCGCAGCGAAAGCGAGUCUGAACAGGGCGUUGAGUAUUUGGUCGUAGACCCGAAACCAGGUGAUCUACCCUUGGUCAGGUUGAAGUUCAGGUAACACUGAAUGGAGGACCGAACCGACUUACGUUGAAAAGUGAGCGGAUGAACUGAGGGUAGCGGAGAAAUUCCAAUCGAACCUGGAGAUAGCUGGUUCUCUCCGAAAUAGCUUUAGGGCUAGCCUCAAGUGAUGAUUGUUGGAGGUAGAGCACUGUUUGGACGAGGGGCCCCUCUCGGGUUACCGAAUUCAGACAAACUCCGAAUGCCAAUCAAUUUAACUUGGGAGUCAGAACGUGGGUGAUAAGGUCCAUGUUCGAAAGGGAAACAGCCCAGACCACCAGCUAAGGUCCCAAAAUAUAUGUUAAGUGGCAAAGGAUGUGGUAUUGCCCAGACAACUAGGAUGUUGGCUUAGAAGCAGCCAUCAUUUAAAGAGUGCGUAAUAGCUCACUAGUCGAGUGACACUGCGCCGAAAAUGUACCGGGGCUAAACAUAUUACCGAAGCUGUGGAUUGUCCGUAGGACAAUGGUAGGAGAGCGUUCUAAGUGCGUCGAAGCAUGAUCGCAAGGACAUGUGGAGCGCUUAGAAGUGAGAAUGCCGGUGUGAGUAGCGAAAGAUGGGUGAGAAUCCCAUCCACCGAUUGACUAAGGUUUCCAGAGGAAGGCUCGUCCGCUCUGGGUUAGUCGGGUCCUAAGUCGAGGCCGACAGGCGUAGACGAUGGAUAACAGGUUGAUAUUCCUGUACCACCAUUUAUCGUUUUAAGCGAUGGGGGGACACAGUAGGAUAGGCGAAGCGUGCUGUUGGAGUGCACGUCUAAGCAGUGAGACUGAAUGGUAGGCAAAUCCGCCAUUCUCAAGGUUGAGCUGUGAUGGGGAGAGGAAACAUGUUUUCCUCGAGUCGUUGAUUUCACACUGUCGAGAAAAGCCUCUAGCUAGAUAACUGGUGCCCGUACCGCAAACCGACACAGGUAGUCAAGAUGAGAAUUCUAAGGUGAGCGAGAGAACUCUCGUUAAGGAACUCGGCAAAAUGACCCCGUAACUUCGGGAGAAGGGGUGCUCUUUAGGGUUCACGCUCUGAAGAGCCGCAGUGAAUAGGCCCAAGCGACUGUUUAUCAAAAACACAGGUCUCUGCUAAACCGUAAGGUGAUGUAUAGGGGCUGACGCCUGCCCGGUGCUGGAAGGUUAAGAGGAGUGGUUAGCUUCUGCGAAGCUACGAAUCGAAGCCCCAGUAAACGGCGGCCGUAACUAUAACGGUCCUAAGGUAGCGAAAUUCCUUGUCGGGUAAGUUCCGACCCGCACGAAAGGCGUAACGAUUUGGGCACUGUCUCAACGAGAGACUCGGUGAAAUCAUAGUACCUGUGAAGAUGCAGGUUACCCGCGACAGGACGGAAAGACCCCGUGGAGCUUUACUGUAGCCUGAUAUUGAAAUUCGGCACAGCUUGUACAGGAUAGGUAGGAGCCUUAGAAGCGUGAGCGCCAGCUUACGUGGAGGCGCUGGUGGGAUACUACCCUAGCUGUGUUGGAUUUCUAACCCGCGCCAUUGAUCAUGGCGGGAGACAGUGUCAGGCGGGCAGUUUGACUGGGGCGGUCGCCUCCUAAAGUGUAACGGAGGCGCUCAAAGGUUCCCUCAGAAUGGUUGGAAAUCAUUCAUAGAGUGUAAAGGCAUAAGGGAGCUUGACUGCGAGACCUACAAGUCGAGCAGGGUCGAAAGACGGACUUAGUGAUCCGGUGGUUCCGCAUGGAAGGGCCAUCGCUCAACGGAUAAAAGCUACCCCGGGGAUAACAGGCUUAUCUCCCCCAAGAGUUCACAUCGACGGGGAGGUUUGGCACCUCGAUGUCGGCUCAUCGCAUCCUGGGGCUGUAGUCGGUCCCAAGGGUUGGGCUGUUCGCCCAUUAAAG
rnacentral:rRNA from 1 species